rnacentral:rRNA from 1 species
CAGUCGCCGCGGUAAUACAGAGGGUGCAAGCGUUAAUCGGAAUUACUGGGCGUAAAGCGCGCGUAGGUGGUUUGUUAAGUUGGAUGUGAAAUCCCAGGGCUCAACCUGGGAACUGCAUCCAAAACUGGCAAGCUAGAGUAUGGUAGAGGGUGGUGGAAUUUCCUGUGUAGCGGUGAAAUGCGUAGAUAUAGGAAGGAACACCAGUGGCGAAGGCGACCAACUGGACUGAUACUGACACUGAGGUGCGAAAGCGUGGGGAGCAAACAGGAUUAGAUACCCCCGUAGUCCCUGUCUCUUAUAC